rnacentral:rRNA from 1 species
CCUACGGGGUGCAGCAGUAGGGAAUAUUGCUCAAUGGGGGAAACCCUGAAGCAGCAACGCCGCGUGGAGGAUGAAGGUUUUCGGAUUGUAAACUCCUUUUGUUAGAGAAGAUAAUGACGGUAUCUAACGAAUAAGCACCGGCUAACUCCGUGCCAGCAGCCGCGGUAAUACGGAGGGUGCAAGCGUUACUCGGAAUCACUGGGCGGAAAGAGCGCGUAGGCGGGAUAGCAAGUCAGAUGUGAAAUCCUAUGGCUUAACCAUAGAACUGCAUUUGAAACUGUUAUUCUAGAGUAUGGGAGAGGUAGGUGGAAUUCUUGGUGUAGGGGUAAAAUCCGUAGAGAUCAAGAGGAAUACUCAUUGCGAAGGCGACCUGCUAGAACAUAACUGACGCUGAUGCGCGAAAGCGUGGGGAGCAAACAGGAUUAGAUACCCUAGUAGUC